GACGAACGCUGGCGGCGUGCUUAACACAUGCAAGUCGAACGAAGAGCGAUGGAAUCUUGCUUCUAUCAAUCUUAGUGGCGAACGGAUGAGUAACGCGUAAUCAACCUGCCCUUCAGAGGGGUACAACAGUUGGAAACGACUGCUAAUACCGCAUACGAUCUAAUCUCGGCAUCGAGGAAAGAUGAAAGGUGGCCUCUAUUUAUAAGCGAUCACUGAAGGAGGGGAGUGCGGCUGAUUAGCUAGUUGGAGGGGUAACGGCCCACCAAGGCGAUGAUCAGUAGCCGGUCGGAGACGAGGAACGGCCAACUUGGGAAUGAGACACGGCCCAGGCUCCUAAGGGAGGCAGCAGGGGGGAAUCUUCCGCAAUGGACGAAAGUCUGAAGGAGGAACGCCGCGCGAGUGAUGACGGCCUUCGGGUUGUAAAGCUCUGUUAAUCGGGACGAAAGGGCUUCUUGCGAACAGUUAGAAGUAUUGACGGUACCGGAAUAGAAAGCCACGGCUAACUACGUG
rnacentral:rRNA from 1 species